ACUCAAAUGAAUUGACGGGGGCCCGCACAAGCGGUGGAGCAUGUGGAUUAAUUCGUCACUAACCGAAGAACCUUACCCAGGCUUGACAUCUGAGGCACCGGCGUGAAAGCGUCGUUCCCUUCGGGGACCUCAAGACAGGUGUUGCAUGGCUGUCGUCAGCUCGUGUCGUGAGAUGUUGGGUUAAGUCCCGCAACGAGCGCAACCCUCACCUGAUGUUGCCAGCGUAAAGUCGGGAACUCUUCAGGAACUGCCCGUGCAAGCGGGAGGAAGGUGGGGACGACGUCAAGUCGGCAUGGCCCUUACGCCUGGGGCUUCACACAUGCUACAAUGGACGGUACAGAGGGGGGCGAGACCGCGAGGUGGAGCAAAUCCCAAAAACCCGUCCUCAGUUCGGAUUGCAGGCUGCAACUCGCCUGCAUGAAGCUGGAAUCGCUAGUAACCGCAGGUCAGCGAAACUGCGGUGAAUACGUUCCCGGGCCUUGUACACACCGCCCGU
rnacentral:rRNA from 1 species